rnacentral:lncRNA from 1 species
UGGGCUGCUUGGGGACCCAGGGAGCUCCCAAGGUCUUUCCUGCUGCUUCCUCUACCCCUGUAUUUCGUUCGGCUGUCUAGACUGACUCAGCUUCAGGCCCUCUGUGCAUGCCAUGCUUAAUAAGGUAAUAAAAAGGUAAGAUUAUAAAGAAGGAAGAGGCCUAUCAAGGAAAGAAGGCUCUUUAUUUGCUUUGCUGUCAUGGUAUCCUUCCCAUUCCACUGGCUUCCAGCACAUAUGUGGAAACUUUUUGGGAAAGUUCCCCAAAACUUUGGGGAACUGUGUUCCCCUGAAGUUUGGAGGGUGAGGAGUGAAAGAGGUUGAGAAGAAUGAGCUGGCUGGAUGGAGUCUUGUUCUGUCACCAGGCUGGAGUGCAGUGGUGCGAUCUCAGCUCACUACAACCUCCACCUCCUGGGUUCAAGUGAAUCCCCUGCCUCAGCCUCCCUAGUAGCUGGGACUACAGGCACACACCACCACACCUGGCUAAUUUUUUGUAUUUUUUAGUAGAGACGGGGUUUCACCAUGUUGGCCAGGAUGGUCUCAAUCUCUUGACCUCAUGAUCUGCCCACCCCACCCUCCCAAAGUUCUGGGAUUACAGGCCUGAGCCACUGCACCUGGCUGCUAGUUCUUAAGAGGGAGGUAUGAGACGUAUGUAUAGACUAAGUGAAAGGAAAAUAUCUUGGGCCCCCAAAAUCACUAAGCUAAAAGGAAAAUUCAAGCUGGAAACUGCUCAGAGCAAACCUGCUUCCCAUUCUAUUCAAAGUCAUCCCUCUGCUCACUGAGGUAAAUGCAUAUUCUGAUUGGCUCCUUUGUAAAAGCUAAUUAGAAACUCAAAAGAAUGCAACUAUUUGUCUCUCACCUACUUGUGACCUGGAAGACCCCUCCCUGCUUCAAGUUCUCCCCACCUUUUUGGACAAAACCAGUGUACUUCUUACUGUAUUGAUUAAUGUCUUGUGUCUCCCUAAAGUGUAUAAAACCAAGUUGUGCCCUGACCACCUUGGGCACAGGUCAUCAGGACUUCCUGAGGCUGUGUCAUGG